GAUGAAGAACGUAGCGAAAUGCGAUAAGUAAUGCGAAUUGCAGAAUUCCGUGAGUCAUCGAAUCUUUGAACGCACAUUGCGCCCUUUGGCAUUCCGAAGGGCAUGCCUGUUCGAGCGUCAUUUAUCAACCCUCAAGCCCGGCUUGCGGUUGGGUCCCGCCGUGGGCGACCACGGCGGACCCGAAAGGUAAUGGCGGUGCCCGUGGGGCCCUGGGCGCAGCGAGCUUCUCGGCACGCGUCCCGGCGGUCCCCGGCGCCGUCUCCACCAAUCCACCACGCAGAUUGACCUCGGAUCAGGUAGGGAUACCCGCUGAACUUAAGCAUAUCAAUAAGCGGAGGA
rnacentral:misc_RNA from 1 species